UAAGGAAUAUUGGUCAAUGGACGCAAGUCUGAACCAGCCAUGCCGCGUGGAGGAUGAAGGUCCUCUGGAUUGUAAACUUCUUUUAUCUGGGACGAAACACUUCUUUUCUAAGAGGCCUGACGGUACCAGAUGAAUAAGCACCGGCUAACUCCGUGCCAGCAGCCGCGGCAAUACGGCGGGUGCAAGCGUUAUCCGGAUUCACUGGGUUUAAAGGGUGCGUAGGUGGGUAUGUAAGUCAGUGGUGAAAUCUCCGAGCUUAACUUGGAAACUGCCGUUGAUACUAUAGGUCUUGAAUUAUCUGGAGGUGAGCGGAAUAUGUCAUGUAGCGGUGAAAUGCUUAGGUAUGACAUAGAACACCAAUUGCGAAGGCAGCUUACUACAUAUAAAUUGACGCUGAGGCACGAAAGCGUGGGGAUCAAACA
rnacentral:rRNA from 1 species